rnacentral:rRNA from 1 species
GGGGGAGGAAGGUGGGGAUGACGUCAAAUCAUCCAUGCCCCUUAUGACCUGGGCUACACACGUGCUACAAUGGUUGGUACAACGAGUUGCGAGUCGGUGACGGCGAGCUAAUCUCUUAAAGCCAAUCUCAGUUCGGAUUGUAGGCUGCAACUCGCCUACAUGAAGUCGGAAUCGCUAGUAAUCGCGGAUCAGCACGCCGCGGUGAAUACGUUCCCGGGCCUU